rnacentral:rRNA from 1 species
UACGAAGGGGGCUAGCGUUGUUCGGAAUCACUGGGCGUAAAGGGCGCGUAGGCGGCCGUUCAAGUCGGGGGUGAAAGCCUGUGGCUCAACCACAGAAUUGCCUUCGAUACUGGACGGCUCGAGACCGGAAGAGGUCGGUGGAACUGCGAGUGUAGAGGUGAAAUUCGUAGAUAUUCGCAAGAACACCAGUGGCGAAGGCGGCUGACUGGUCCGGUUCUGACGCUGAGGCGCGAAAGCUAGGGGAGCGAACAGGAUUAGAUACCCCUGUAGU